rnacentral:rRNA from 1 species
GGCUUAAUGAUUAUAAUUUUAAGUCAAUCUGCCCAAUGAUAUUAUAUUAAAUGGCUGCAGUAUAAUUAACUGUACAAAGGUAGCAUAGUCAAUUGUUUUUUAAUUGGAAACUGGAAUGAAAGAAUUAAUGAGAUAUAUACUGUCUCAUAUAUAUGUUAUUAAGUUAAAUUUUUAGUUAAAAUGCUGAAAUAGAUUUAUGGGACGAUAAGACCCUAUAGAAUUUUAUAUUAAAAUUUAAAAUAUAUUAAUUUUUAGGUUUUAAUAUUUGAUUGGGAGGAUUAAUAAAUUUAUUUAACUUUAUUUUAAAAAUAUACUUUGAUUUAAGGAUUAUAUUAAUGAUUUUGUAUUAUAGAUUAUAAGAAAAAAUUACCUUAGGGAUAACAGCGUAAUAUCUUUUUAAAGACCGAAUUUAUAAAGAUGAUUGCGACCUCGAUGUUGAAUUAAGAUAAAUUUUAAAUGGAGAAGUUUAAUAAUUAAGUCUGUUCGACUUUUAAAAUCUUACAUGAUUUGAGUUCAAAUCGACGUGAGU